GAUGAACGCUGGCGGCGUGCCUAAUACAUGCAAGUCGAGCGAACAGAUGAGGAGCUUGCUCCUCUGACGUUAGCGGCGGACGGGUGAGUAACACGUGGAUAACCUACCUAUAAGACUGGGAUAACUUCGGGAAACCGGAGCUAAUACCGGAUAAUAUAUUGAACCGCAUGGUUCAAUAGUGAAAGACGGUUUUGCUGUCACUUAUAGAUGGAUCCGCGCCGCAUUAGCUAGUUGGUAAGGUAACGGCUUACCAAGGCAACGAUGCGUAGCCGACCUGAGAGGGUGAACGGCCACACUGGGACUGGGACACGGUCCAGGGUCCUACGGGAGGUCGAAGUAGGGAAGCUUCCGCAAUGGGGGGAAUCCUGACGGAGGAACGCAGGGGGGGUGAAGAAAGGCUUCGGGUGGGAAAACUCUGUUAGUAGGGAAGAACAAAUGUGUAAGUAACGAUGCACGUCUUGACGGUACCUAAUCAGAAAGCCACGGCUAACUACGUG
rnacentral:rRNA from 1 species